rnacentral:rRNA from 1 species
UACAGAGGGCUCGAGCGUUGUUCGGAUUCAUUGGGCGUAAAGGGUGCGUAGGCGGCGCUGUAAGUCGGGUGUGAAAUCCUGAGGCUUAACCUCGGAACUGCAUUCGAUACUGCGGUGCUUGAGGACUGGAGAGGAGACUGGAAUUCAUGGUGUAGCAGUGAAAUGCGUAGAGAUCGGGAGGAAUACCGGUGGCGAAAGCGACUCUCUGGACGGCAACUGACGCUGAGGCACGAAAGCGUGGGGAGCAAACAGG